GAUGAAUGCUGGCGGCGUGCCUAACACAUGCAAGUCGAGCGGCAGCGAGGGGUGCUUGCACCCUGUCGGCGAGCGGCGAACGGCUGAGUAACGCGUAGGAAUUUGCCCCAAAGUGAGGAAUAACUGCCCGAAAGGGUAGCUAAUGCCGCAUAUGGUCUUCGGAUUAAAGGAUUUAUCCGCUUUGGGAGAAGCCUGCGUUGGAUUAGGUUGUUGGUAGGGUAAUGGCCUACCAAGCCGACGAUCCAUAGCUGGUCUGAGAGGAUGAUCGGCCAGACUGGAACUGAGACACGGUCCAGACUCCUACGGGAGGCAGCAGUGAGGAAUCUUCCACAAUGGGCGAAAGCCUGAUGGAGCAACGCCGCGUGAAGGAUGAAGGCCUUCGGGUUGUAAACUUCUUUUAUGAGUGAAGAAUAUGACGGUAACUCAUGAAUAAGCACCGGCUAACUACGUG
rnacentral:rRNA from 1 species